rnacentral:tRNA from 1 species
CGGGGUGUAGCGCAGCUUGGUAGCGCGCUUCGUUCGGGACGAAGAGGCCAUGGGUUCAAAUCCCGUCACCCCGA